GCUGGAGCACAGUGGUGCAAUCUCGGAUCACUGCAAGCUCCGCCUCCCGGGCCUCAGUCUGCAGAGACACAGAAGCAAAUGACUUUAUGAAGCUCCUGACUGUAUGAAGUUCUCAGUCAAACAAAGUAGUACCUCUUCUGCCCAUCUCAGAGGUAGAUGAGGGUAAAGUGAAAUAACGGAAAGCACAAGGAACAGUAAAAGGCAAAUGUCAAGAAGCUGUUUGCAAAGUUACCAAGAUGUAAAAUUAGAUUUUACUUAUUAAUAAUCAUGUCACUUGUUAUUCUGUUUAUAACGGUCAGUUCACUGCUGAUAUUCAAGUGGACUGUUUAAACUGUAUUUUUGCUCAACUAUCCCUCCAAAUUAAAUAUCUCAAAAUCUUGACUGU